rnacentral:rRNA from 1 species
AACGCUAGCUACAGGCUUAACACAUGCAAGUCGAGGGGCAGCACAGGGUGGCAACACCUGGGUGGCGACCGGCGCACGGGUGAGUAACACGUAUCCAACCUGUCCCAUACUCGGGGAUAGCCUUUCGAAAGAAAGAUUAAUACCCGAUGGCAUCCUGUGAGGGCAUCCUCGCGGGAUUAAAGAGAUUCGGUAUGGGGUGGGGAUGCGUUCCAUUAGCUUGUUGGCGGGGUAACGGCCCACCAAGGCAACGAUGGAUAGGGGUUCUGAGAGGAAGGUCCCCCACAUUGGAACUGAGACACGGUCCAAACUCCUACGGGAGGCAGCAGUGAGGAAUAUUGGUCAAUGGACGAGAGUCUGAACCAGCCAAGUAGCGUGAAGGAUGACUGCCCUAUGGGUUGUAAACUUCUUUUAUAAGGGAAUAAAGUGCACCACGUGUGGUGUUUUGUAUGUACCUUAUGAAUAAGGAUCGGCUAACUCCGUGCCAGCAGCCGCGGUAAUACGGAGGAUCCGAGCGUUAUCCGGAUUUAUUGGGUUUAAAGGGAGCGUAGGCGGCAGGUUAAGUCAGUUGUGAAAGUUUGCGGCUCAACCGUAAAAUUGCAGUUGAUACUGGCCUGCUUGAGUGCGGCAGAGGCAGGCGGAAUUUGUGGUGUAGCGGUGAAAUGCUUAGAUAUCACGAAGAACUCCGAUUG